rnacentral:rRNA from 1 species
AUGGGUCAGCGACUUACGUUCUGUGGCGAGCUUAACCGAAUAGGGGAGGCGCAGCGAAAGCGAGUUCGAAAUGAGCGUCCAGUCGCAGGGUGUAGACCCGAAACCAGAUGAGCUAUCCAUGGCCAGGUUGAAGGUGUGGUAACACACACUGGAGGACCGAACCGACUAGUGUUGCAAAAUUAGCGGAUGAGCUGUGGAUAGGGGUGAAAGGCCAAACAAAUCUGGAGAUAGCUGGUUCUCCCCGAAAACUAUUGAGGUAGUGCCUCGUGUGUCGCUCCAGGGGGUAGAGCACUGUUUUGGCUAGGGGGACAUGGAGUCUUACCAAACCAAGGCAAACUCCGAAUACCUGGAAGCGUGAGCACGGGAGACAGAGCACCGGGUGCUAACGUCCGGACUCAAAAGGGAAACAACCCAGACCGCCGGCUAAGGUCCCAAAUAACAGCUAAGUGGAAAACGAAGUGGAAAGGCCGUGACAACCAGGAAGUUGGCUUAGAAGCAGCCAUCCUUCAAAGAAAGCGUAAUAGCUCACUGGUCGAGUCCUUCUGCGCGGAAGAUGUAACGGGGCUAAGCUGUUAACCGAAGCCGCGGAUGCGCUGGUUAUCCAGUGCGUGGUAGGGGAGCGUUCUGUAAGUCUGCGAAGGCGGUUCGAGAGGACUGCUGGAGAUAUCAGAAGUGCGAAUGCUGACAUGAGUAACGUUAAAGCAGGUGAAAAGCCUGCUCGCCGUAAGCCCAAGGAUUCCUGCUCUACGUUCAUCGGAGCAGGGUGAGUCGGCUCCUAAGGUCAGGCCGAAAGGCGUAGCCGAUGGGAAUCAGGUUAAUAUUCCUGAACCUGCGUCAGAUGCGAUGGGGGGACGGAGCAUGGAAGAUCAUCCGGGUGUUGGAAGUCCCGGUUGUUUAGCGUAGGAGGUCUGCAGGCAAAUCCGCAGACGCAUCUCCAAGGCAAAGACACGUGCCGCCACGGCGGCGAAGUGAUCGGAAGUGCUUCCAAGAAAAGCCUCUAAGCCCCAGUCUGACGCGGACCGUACCGCAAACCGACACUGGUGGGCGAGCUGAAUAUGCUCAGGCGCUUGAGAGAACUCGGGAGAAGGAACUCGGCAAAUUGACACCGUAACUUCGGAAGAAGGUGUGCCGUAGUACCGUGAGAGGAGAGACACCUUGAGCGGGAAACGGUCUCAGAGAAUAGGUGGCUGCGACUGUUUAUUAAAAACACAGCACUCUGCAAAGUCGAAAGACGACGUAUAGGGUGUGAUGCCUGCCCGGUGCUGGAAGAUUAAUUGAUGGGGUGAGAGCCCUUGAUCGAAGUCCCAGUAAACGGCGGCCGUAACUAUAACGGUCCUAAGGUAGCGAAAUUCCUUGUCGGGUAAGUUCCGACCUGCACGAAUGGCAUAACGAUGGCCACACUGUCUCCUCCCGAGACUCAGUGAAGUUGAAAUGUUUGUGAUGAUGCAAUCUACCCGCGGCUAGACGGAAAGACCCCAUGAACCUUUACUGCAGCUUUGCAUUGAACUGUGAACCGAUUUGUGUAGGAUAGGUGGGAGGCAGAGAAGAGGCCACGCCAGUGGUCUUGGAGCCGACCUUGAAAUACCACCCUGAUUUGUUUGCGGUUCUAACCACGGACAGUGAUCCUGUCUUGGGACCGUGCAUGGUAGGCAGUUUGACUGGGGCGGUCUCCUCCUAAAGGGUAACGGAGGAGUACGAAGGUACGCUAGGUACGGUCGGAAAUCGUGCUGAUAGUGCAAUGGCAAAAGCGUGCUUGACUGCGAGAGCAACAACUCGAGCAGAUGCGAAAGCAGGUCAUAGUGAUCCGGUGGCUCUGAAUGGAAGGGCCAUCGCUCAACGGAUAAAAGGUACUCUGGGGAUAACAGGCUGAUACCGCCCAAGAGUUCAUAUCGACGGCGGUGUUUGGCACCUCGAUGUCG